GAUGAACGCUGGCGGCGUGCCUAAUACAUGCAAGUCGAGCGAACAGAUGAGGAGCUUGCUCCUCUGACGUUAGCGGCGGACGGGUGAGUAACACGUGGAUAACCUACCUAUAAGACUGGGAUAACUUCGGGAAACCGGCGCUAAUACCGGAUAAUAUAUUGAACCGCAUGGUUCAAUAGUGAAAGACGGUUUUGCUGUCACUUAUAGAUGGAUCCGCGCCGCAUUAUCUAGUUGGUAAGGUAACGGCUUACCAAGGCAACGAUGCGUAGCCGACCUGAGAGGGUGAUCGGCCACACUGGAACUGAGACACGGUCCAGACUCCUACGGGAGGCAGCAGUAGGGAAUCUUCCGCAAUGGGCGAAAGCCUGACGGAGCAACGCCGCGUGAGUGAUGAAGGUCUUCGGAUCGUAAAACUCUGUUAUUAGGGAAGAACAAAUGUGUAAGUAACUAUGCACGUCUUGACGGUACCUAAUCAGAAAGCCACGGCUAACUACGUG
rnacentral:rRNA from 1 species